GUAGGUGAACCUGCGGAAGGAUCAUUAAAGAGUCUAGAGACUUCGGUCUACUACUCCACCCUUUGUUUACAUACCAUUGUUGCUUUGGCAGGCCCGUCGCAAGACAACCGGCUCCAGCUGGUCAGCGCCUGCCAGAGGAUCUAAAACUCAUGUUUAUAUUAUUGUCUGAGUACUAUAUAAUAGUUAAAACUUUCAACAACGGAUCUCUUGGUUCUGGCAUCGAUGAAGAACGCAGCAUCUGACUGACUUC
rnacentral:misc_RNA from 1 species